UGAUAGAGCAUGUGCUAUGAAAGAUGC
rnacentral:piRNA from 1 species